CAUGCACGUGGAUGAGAGUACGUUCUUUGUUGUUUAUCUCCGGUAAAGACAAUAACGAUUCUCCGUCUUAAAUUUGAUCGUUUAUUUACAUAUUAUGGUACCUGAGGUUUGAUUAUAAACGUUGUUUGACUUGUUUGGAGAAGUUUAUUGGUAACGUUUGGGAUUCAUUUUGUAUGCAUUUUGAAGGAGGGAAACAGGUGGAUUAUUAACUGAAGCGCACCAGCUAAACAGAUAUUUUGGGGAUAUAAAGAAGGACAUUAUCGAACAAAAGGACCAUUUGUGAUGUAGGUGGGACCUUUUGGAGUGCCAACAGAAGAAGAUCUUCAAAGAAGCAGGCAAUCUGAGUGGUUCCUCUGACUUCAAAAUGGCCCAAGUCGCUCCCCUUCUCAAGAAACCAACACUCAACCCCUAUGAUGUAAAAGACUACAGAACGAUCUAUCCAAUGCCUUAGACACAGUGAACCGCCAGAUCCUCCUGUCCACCCUUUCAGGGUGUCUCUGCACACUCUUGGAUUGCAUCCUACCUGGCAGGCCGCUCCUACCAGCCAGGUAACGACACGCAUCUCUGCAUGUUUGGCAGAUAUCUGAUAUGGAUGUUGGCCCACCACCUCAAGCUCAAGUUCAACAAGACAGAGCUGCUCUUCCUCCCGGAGAAGACCUGCCUGCUCCAGUGUGCAAAGCUGUCAUCGAGGCAAAGGCAUCUGCUCUCCAACAGCACAGGAGCCUGUGGCACAGUCAGGUCGAACAGGAAGGGGAUGCCGGCAUUCAGAUGCAGGAAGAUGCAGAGAGGGGAGGUGGAGUUCAAGGAGAAUGUUCAGCAACUGGCAGUAAAGUGGCAUGACAAAUGAGACGUCCAUGUCCUCUCCACUGUCCAUACAGCAACCAUGUCGGCCACAGGGAAGGUGAACCACCUGACGGGAGAGAGAAAAAUCAAACCAGUCUGCGUGCUUGACUAUAACCUCAAAAUGGGGGCAGUGGAUAAGGCGGACAUGAUAAACAGCUUUGUGAAAUGCACUAGGAAAACGACCAAGUGAUAUAAGAAGAUAUUUUUCCAUCUGAUCGACACUGCUGCCCUCAAUGGCCACAUAGUUCACCACCAACUAACAG
rnacentral:lncRNA from 1 species